AUCCCAUUAAUGGCUUGUCUUUUCAUUGAAACGUCAUAGUUCUUGAACGUAGAACCCUUCAAAUCUCAUAAAAUCUUCUAGGCUUUUGCUACACGUUUCCAAAUGACCAUUUUUUUUCAUCAGUCUGGAGCCCCUGGCUGUAUCCUUUCCAUCGCUCGUCGAACAUGCUCUAGAACACCUCCCUCCAGUUCUUGAAUCUCCAGUUAUUUCGCAUACACUAAGACCCAUUAAUAUCCCUAACCUUAUUGCUUGUACUCCCGCAUGCGCUUCCACUGCAAACGAUGAAGCAACAUUAGAGUAGAUGACCGAUUUCGAUGCCAAAAUAUCCCCUCGCAUGUCUCGAACUAUCAGCCCCGAGGCAGAUCAGGAAAAUUGUUGGUCAAAAGCCACAUUGAAAGAAAUGACUACGCUCGUCCUUCGAUCUUCAUGACUAAAAACCAUUUCUGUAUCAGAGAUAAGUAGUUUCUCUUCUAAUCCUUGCAACUUUGAUAUAUAACUGAUUAUUGUCUUGAGAUCUCUCACUUGUUCUGUUUUUACUUUCAUAUAACAACUGGUUCCUGUUUGACCAGAUAGGCCAAAGCCUACGGCAAAAUAAUCUACACUGUUCAUUUGUUCCCCGAUUGAAAACCCAGGACACAUUUGGAAAAAAUGAUUACUAUCCUCCUCAAGCUGCCGACAUCUGGUACACCAACUUCAUUCAUAACUCUCUUCAGUUUAAGAUUAGCAAACGUAAGAUUAUAAUUCCAGGAAAUUUUCCAGAUUGUAACUUUAAUUUUCAAAAGGAUGUGUAAAUUUCAUAAUUUUCUGUAGAAAGCUUCAUUUUCAGCCUGUAUAAUAUUAUUAUUAGGAAUCAGAGUAGUCUUUGUAAUAGUUUAUAGGCGCUUCUAACAGAAAAAUUCCCUGAUGGUUCUCCACCCCAAACUUGGAAAUCAUCAUGUACAGACUUCACCAAUUGGAUCAGUAGAAUUUUUUUUGCAAUAUCCGCAUUAAAUGAAUUAAAAAUUAGAUCUACUUUCCAUGUUCUACUUUCUUCUUCAAUCAAAUCUGAAACUAACUCAAUAUCUGCGUUUCCUCUGUGAUGCUGCAACUUUUCCUCUUCGUAACCCAGUAUCCAAAAAUCGGCCCAGAUGGAAAUACGAUCCCCCUUGCCAAUAUUCCAACACAAGCAUUUUUCUAGAACUCAUCUAGCUGACUAGAUACUCUUCCAAGUAAAUGAAGUGGACAGUGGUCAGAGAAGGAAUGGGACAGAUGCCGAAUUUGAUAAUUUGGGAAUAAAGAUAACCAGUCAUCAGUAGCUACACCUCUAUCUAAACGUUCUUGGAUAUUAGUCUCUGGCUCGUGUGUAUGUACUAUUUUUUUUAUGAAAGAAGAAUUAAUUUAUUUUUGCAA